rnacentral:rRNA from 1 species
GGGCCCGCACAAGCAGCGGAGCGUGUGGUUUAAUUCGAUGUUACACGAAGAACCUUGCCAGGGUUUGACAUGCAAGUGGUAGGAAGCCGAAAGGUGACCGACCCUUCGGGGAGCUUGCACAGGUGCUGCAUGGCUGUCGUCAGCUCGUGUCGUGAGAUGUUCGGUUAAGUCCGCUAACGAGCGCAACCCUCGCUGUGUGUUAUAUGUGUCACACGGGACUGCCGGUCUUAAGCCGGAGGAAGGUGGGGAUGAUGUCAAGUCAGCAUGGCCUUUAUAUCCUGGGCUACACACACGCUACAAUGGCCAACACAAUAGGUUGCUAAGCCGCGAGGUGGCGCCAAUCCAUAAAGUUGGUCUCAGUUCAGAUUGUAGGCUGCAACCCGCCUGCAUGAAGAUGGAGUUGCUAGUAACCGCAGGUCAGCUAUACUGCGGUGAAUACGUUCCCGGGGCUU